rnacentral:rRNA from 1 species
GACGAACGCUGGCGGCGUGCCUAAUACAUGCAAGUCGAGCGGACGUUUUUGAAGCUUGCUUUAAAAACGUUAGCGGCGGACGGGUGAGUAACACGUGGGCAACCUACCUUAUCGACUGGGAUAACUCCGGGAAACCGGGGCUAAUACCGGAUAACAUCUAGCACCUCCUGGUGCCGGAUUGAAAGAGGGCUUCUUGCUCUCACGAUAAGAUGGGCCUGGGGCGCAUUAGCUAGUUGGAGAGGUAAUGGCUCCCCAAGGCGACGAUGCGUAGCCGACCUGAGAGGGUGAUCGGCCACACUGGGACUGAGACACGGCCCAGACUCCUACGGGAGGCAGCAGUAGGGAAUCUUCCGCAAUGGACGAAAGUCUGACGGAGCAACGCCGCGUGAGUGAUGAAGGGUUUCGGCUCGUGAAGCUCUGUUAUGAGGGAAGAACACGUACCGUUCGAAUAGGGCGGUACCUUGACGGUACCUCAUCAGAAAGCCACGGCUAACUACGUGCCAGCCGCCGCCGUAA